UUUGGUUUGCCGCCGGGUAAACAGGAAAGCAUUGGUUUCCGCGUCGUUAGGCCGUAGAAGACGCGGAGGGCAAUGCUUUAUUUUU
rnacentral:ncRNA from 1 species